rnacentral:rRNA from 1 species
AGGGAACUCUGAUGCAGCGACGCCGCGUGAACGAAGAAGGCUUUCGAGUCGUAAAGUUCUUUUAUAUGGGAAGAUAAUGACGGUACCAUAAGAAAAAGCCCCGGCUAACUACGUGCCAGCAGCCGCGGUAAUACGUAGGGGGCUAGCGUUGUCCGGAAUCACUGGGCGUAAAGGGUUCGCAGGCGGAAAUGCAAGUCAGGUGUAAAAGGCAGUAGCUUAACUACUGUAAGCAUUUGAAACUGCAUAUCUUGAGAAGAGUAGAGGUAAGUGGAAUUUUUAGU